GUGAAUCAUCAAAUUUUUGAACGCAAAUUGCACUCUCUGCGGAGAGGAUGCCUAUUUGAGGGUCAGUAUUAAUAAAAAUCGGUGUGUUGCGUCUUUGGGACGCUCUGGAGGAUGGGGGAUCGUAAGAUCCGGUAGGUUUGAAUAGGCUUAAAAUAGACGUUUUAUGCGCAUUGUAGAUGUACAUAAAUUCUUUUUUUUAUUCGUCUGUCUAAAUGCUCAAAAACCUAUUAGAUGCGAACAUAU
rnacentral:misc_RNA from 1 species